AUGAACGAUGCAGAAGACCGAACUAGCAAGGGAAGAGAAAAUCAGACAAGAAAUGUUGGAGAGGAAAAAAGCACAAGAGGAACUGAAAUUGUAGCACAGUCAAAAGGCCUGGAGGAGAUUAACAGAGAGUUCGACCCAGAUGCUGAGAGAAUGGAUUUCAGGAAUGAUGAUUAUGUUCAAGAGCAGAUAGAUUAUGGAGAAUACAUGGUGGAGAGUACACAAGUCAUACAUGAUAGAGUGCUGAAGGAGUAUGGCAAUUAUUUAGAGGAAUUUCUGGAUUCCCAACCUGAAAAAGUCUCUAGCAAAGUGGGCAUUGUGACUGAUGCAAGACAGGAAACUAAAAAAACCACUUAUAACUUGGCUUGGCUUGUGAAUGUUAGUGGUAAUCGCCCUUUCUCCUGGUGCUUUGUUCCUGCUGUUGGACAGCCAGGUGGUCUUUUGAGUGCUGGCCAACCCACCCCACCCCCUCUUCUCUUCGUCCUCCACCCCCCGCAGAUCAGUACCGAACCAUCCUCAUCUACUUCCCGCACCCCUCCUCUCCUCCCCCCACAGCAGCCAUGGAUGAACAAGACUGAAGAUAGCAGAAACCAAAAUUGGGGAAACCAGAGGAAGAAGACAAAAAUUCUAGAAGAAAUCAUGACGGGCAUUGGAGGCUCUUACCAGGCAAAUGAAGAGAUAUAUGCAGGCGACUACAUUGGUACUCACCCUGUGCGUUCCCAGUACCCUAGAAUCGUGUUUGACCCGUGGCUUUCUCAAAUGCAAGGGAACGGAGCUAAUUUUCUGCAUAUGAUUCCACCUUACUCAUUCGUCUAUCCGGUCCAUCAUUUUGGAACAUCAGCAAAUCCUCUGGCUGCUAACGAAAACCAAAAUGCAGGCAUGGUGUUGUGUCAAGGCUUUGGCAUGAACAUGACAUACACACAAAUGCUAUUUGCUGCUGAAUUAGAGGCUCCUUUAUUUGGUUCACCACACACAGAUCGCUAUCUUGUUUGUGCUGAGAAUGAGACGUUCAUGGUAACUAGGCGCAACACAAGGUUAAGUGACCAAGUAGACAUGGACAUCCCUGGAUCAAGCAACUACCUUGAACAAGAUGAUACAAGCUACUGGGACAACAACAUGAUAGAUUCUCGGGAGGCCAAUUUGUCAUUGCAAGAUAAAAUAUGGAAUGAUGGCAUGCCAGCUGCUGGUGCAGACCUCUUUGAAGAUUCAGACACUGAUCCAACAACCUUUGUCAAUGUGGUUGUUGUUACUGAAGAAGAUGUUGAUCAAGUAGUUGUUGCACAUGAUGAUGAACUGAAUGUGAAUGGUGAUGAUGAGCAAUUGUCACAAGAUGAUAUCAAUAACUUUUUGGAGAAUUAUUCUGCUCUUGCAGCUCAGACUUGUAGCCAGGAGGUUCGCAACCAUCAUGUGCCUCAAAUGGGCAUGGACUUUGAAACGUCAAAAGCAUCACAUACAUUCUACAACGACUACUCUUGGUUGUGUGGUUUUGCUGCACGAAAAGCAUCAAACUACUGUGGGCAGACCAGCACAGGAGGUGAUGAGCAGGAGGCUAGGAGGAUAAAAAGUAAAGAGCGGUGGCAAGAGCGGACUAGAAAGCUUGCACCCGAGACAAGGAAGAGGAGAAGGUGGGCACCGGUCUACUUCAAGACAGAUUUCCUUCCACUGAUACACUCGACAUCUAGGAGUGAAGGCAUGAAUGCCAUCUACAAGGACAAUGUAGCAUCAACUUACAAUGUGAUCAGCUUCAUGAAAGAAUAUGAAAAAAUAUCUGUACGCAUACAAGACAUGGAAAGGGAGCAAGACUCACUAACAAGGACAACUAAACCAACAUUCUGGGUGUGCAAUGAGCUUGAGAUUCAGGCAUCGCAAAAGUACAACCGACAAUUUUUUUACCGGUUUCAGAAGCAAAUGAAGUUUGCUGCAAAACUGCAUGUGCAUGUUGUUGAGAAUGGAUCAAGGUUCGAGAAAGAUGGCAUUUUAUGUGCACACAUUCUGCGAGUGCCUGUCCACCUGAACAAGUCUGUCCUGCCUGGCAAGUAUUAUAUAGAGAGGUGGAAACCAAAGGAUAGGAAGUAUGUAAGACACAAACAGUUCAAUAUUCCCAUGGAACUGAUCGAGGCAGGCUGGCAUUUGAGGUACGCACAACUCUCGAAUCUCCUCAAUGAGAUGGCUUCCGAUGGGGCAGGAAUGAAUGAGAAGUACUUGUUUGUUGUGAAGGAGAGUGAGAGGAUUUUUACUGGGCUUGAUGAGAUGAAUAAGGCAGAGGAGUUGAGAGAGCUUCAGGCAAGAGGGGUUGCCGUGGGAAAAGGUCCUCUAAGUCAAGUUUAA
rnacentral:rRNA from 1 species